UACGUAGGGUACGAGCGUUGUCCGGAAUUAUUGGGCGUAAAGAGCUCGUAGGCGGUGUGUCACGUCGUUCGUGAAAACCUGCAGCUUAACUGUGGGCGUGCGGUCGAUACGGGCAUCACUGGAGUUCGGCAGGGGAGACUGGAAUUCCUGGUGUAGCGGUGAAAUGCGCAGAUAUCAGGAGGAACACCAUGGCGAAGGCAGCUCGCUGGGACGGUACUGACGCUGGAGAACGGCGAAAGCGUGGGGAGCGAACAGG
rnacentral:rRNA from 1 species